AAAAAAAAAAAAAAAAGAAAAAAGUUCGAGAGCCCUCCACCACCUGUUCCUGGACCAAACUGAGCGUCAGGCUGCUGUUUCUCCUGGUUCAGUAAGGAGAUGCAGAUGAACUGGAGAGGAAGCGAGUUUUUAUUUCUGCAACCAGUUACAGGGAGAAGGCCUGGAAAUUAUCACCAGACCAACUUAAAAUUACAAAGCUUUCCAGAGCUUAUAUACCUUCUAAGCUAUAUGUCUACGUGUAAAUGUGCAUUCAUCUAAAGACAUAAGUGAUUAACUCGCCGGGCGCGGUGG
rnacentral:lncRNA from 1 species